UAGAGAUGCUGCUUAUGAUUUGGAAGAUGUUAUUGAAACUUAUGGCUUGAAAGUGGUUUCCAAGAAGAAAAGACGUGUGAAGAAUGUUCUCAAAAGAUUUGCUUGCAUCUUCAAGGAAGGGGUCAAGCUUCACAGGAUUGGGAAAGAAAUUUCUGAGUUGAGGUCGAGUUUGCAGAAGUAUAACAUAAAGGAAAUUAACCCUUGUAAUUGGAGAACCACUCGACUACCAACCACCACCGACAAUGUCAAGGUCAGGACUGGUAAACGAAGGCCUUUCCAUUUAUAUCUCUUUAUCAACUGAUUUUGGAAUUAAACCAGCAGUGGAGAUCUGUGCUUGUGUGGUGGAUCUGUUAGGCUGAUCAGGAGAGACCUCGAUCGAGCAUUAAAUUUCAUCAAAACGAUGCCUGUAGAACCUGGUCCAAGUGUUUGUGGGUCUUUAGUUACUUACUGCUUCUGUGUUGCAUGGGAAUCAUGACAUGCAAGAUCUAGCUUACAGGUUCCUUAUUCAACUAGAACCCAAAAACCCUUCAAAUUAUAUUUCGCUAUCGAACUUCUAUGCCUCUUCUAGGAGGUGGGACGUUGUAGCUAAAAUGAGAACAAUGAUGAAAGAGGUUUGAAGAAGGCACCUGGGUGCAGCUGGAUAAGCAUUAAUUCCAAGACUCAUUGUUUCUAUGUUGCUGAUAAAUCACAUCCUUAUUCUAAUUCGAUCUAUCAGAUGCUUGACUACCUUAUCUUAGUGAUGAAGGGUUUUGAACAUCCAGCA